AUUGAACGCUGGCGGAAUGCUUUACACAUGCAAGUCGAACGGCAGCACGGGGGCAACCCUGGUGGCGAGUGGCGAACGGGUGAGUAAUACAUCGGAACGUGCCCGGUCGUGGGGGAUAACGUAGCGAAAGUUACGCUAAUACCGCAUACGAUCUGAGGAUGAAAGCGGGGGACCUUCGGGCCUCGCGCGAUCGGAGCGGCCGAUGUCAGAUUAGGUAGUUGGUGGGGUAAAGGCCUACCAAGCCGACGAUCUGUAGCUGGUCUGAGAGGACGACCAGCCACACUGGGACUGAGACACGGCCCAGACUCCUACGGGAGGCAGCAGUGGGGAAUUUUGGACAAUGGGCGCAAGCCUGAUCCAGCCAUUCCGCGUGCAGGACGAAGGCCUUCGGGUUGUAAACUGCUUCUGUAUGGAACGAAAAGGCUCUGGCUAAUACCUGGGGCUCAUGACGGUACCGUAAGAAUAAGCACCGGCUAACUACGUG
rnacentral:rRNA from 1 species